rnacentral:rRNA from 1 species
CCUACGGGAGGCAGCAGUGAGGAAUAUUGGUCAAUGGCCGGAAGGCUGAACCAGCCAUGCCGCGUGAAGGUCAGUGCCCUAUGGGCGUUAAACUUCUUUUGUCAAGGGACAAAAUCAGGCUCGAGAGCCUGACCGAGGGUACUUGAAGAAAAAGCAUCGGCUAACUCCGUGCCAGCAGCCGCGGUAAUACGGAGGAUGCGAGCGUUAUCCGGAUUUAUUGGGUUUAAAGGGUGCGUAGGCUGUGAGGUAAGUCAGCGGUGAAAUGCCCCCGCUCAACGGGGUGAAGUGCCAUUGAUACUGCCUUGCUGGAAUGCGGAUGCCGUGGGAGGAAUGUGUGGUGUAGCGGUGAAAUGCAUAGAUAUCACACAGAACACCGAUUGCGAAGGCAUCUCACGAAUCCGCGAUUGACGCUGAUGCACGAAAGCGUGGGUAUCAAACAGGAUUAGAUACCCCUGUAGUC